rnacentral:rRNA from 1 species
UACGAAGGGGGCAAGCGUUGUUCGGAAUUACUGGGCGUAAAGAGCGCGUAGGCGGACCAGACAGUCAGAGGUGAAAUCCCGGGGCUCAACCCCGGAACUGCCUUUGAUACUUCUGGUCUAGAGUUCGUGAGGGGAUGGUGGAAUACCCAGUGUAGAGGUGAAAUUCGUAGAUAUUGGGUGGAACACCGGUGGCGAAGGCGACCAUCUGGCACGAUACUGACGCUGAGGCGCGAAAGCGUGGGGAGCAAACAGG